rnacentral:rRNA from 1 species
UAGGGAAUCUUCGGCAAUGGGACAAAAGUCUGACCGAGCAACGCCGCGUGAGUGGAGAAGGUUUUCGGAUCGUAAAACUCUGUUGGUAGAGAAGAACGUUGGUGAGAGUGGAAAGCUCAUCAAGUGACGGUAACUACCCAGAAAGGGACGGCUAACUACGUGCCAC